rnacentral:rRNA from 1 species
CAAGUACCGUGAGGGAAAGUUGAAAAGAACUUUGAAGAGAGAGUUCAAAAGUACGUGAAACUGUUUAGAGAUAAACCUGCUCUAUUUAGUUGUAUAAAUACUAAUAGCAGAAGAUUCAAUUACCUUACCGUUUUACAAACUAACUUGAAUUUAUAAUUAAAUGUGACAGAAUACAAUCACACACACUUUAUGUGUUUGUGUGUAUUUGUAUUAACUGCUCNAUUCUUGUUUAGUAUUUUGUAACGGAGGUGUGCACUUCUUCUGUUAUUAAUGUUGUCACUCGUCAUUGC